AGAACGAACGCUGGCGGCAUGCCUAAUACAUGCAAGUCGAACGAACUCUUCGGAGUUAGUGGCGCACGGGUGCGUAACGCGUGGGAAUCUGCCCCUUGGUUCGGAAUAACAGUUGGAAACGACUGCUAAUACCGGAUGAUGACGAAAGUCCAAAGAUUUAUCGCCAAGGGAUGAGCCCGCGUAGGAUUAGCUAGUUGGUGAGGUAAAGGCUCACCAAGGCAACGAUCCUUAGCUGGUCUGAGAGGAUGAUCAGCCACACUGGGACUGAGACACGGCCCAGACUCCGUACGGGAGGCAG
rnacentral:rRNA from 1 species